rnacentral:rRNA from 1 species
GUCCACGCCGUAAACGAUGGGUACUAGGUGUUCGGGGUAUUGACCCCCUUAGUGCCGCAGCUAACGCAUUAAGUACCCCGCCUGGGGACUACGGCCGCAAGGCUAAAACUCAAAGGAAUUGACGGGGGCCCGCACAAGCGGUGGAGCAUGUGGUUUAAUUCGACGCAACGCGAAGAACCUUACCUGGGCUAGACAACAUCGGACAGCCCCAGAAAUGGGGUCUCCCCGCAAGGGGCCGGUGGUUCAGGUGCUGCAUGGCUGUCGU